GUAUAUAUAGCUCAGUGGUAGAGUGCAUGCUUAGCAUGCAUGAGGUCCUGGGUUCAAUCCCCAGUAUAUUCA
rnacentral:tRNA from 1 species